UACGUAGGGCGCAAGCGUUAUCCGGAAUUAUUGGGCGUAAAGAGCUCGUAGGCGGUCUGUCGCGUCGGCUGUGAAAACUCGGGGCUCAACCCCGAGCCUGCAGUCGAUACGGGCAGACUAGAGUGCUGUAGGGGAGACUGGAAUUCCUGGUGUAGCGGUGAAAUGCGCAGAUAUCAGGAGGAACACCGGUGGCGAAGGCGGGUCUCUGGGCAUUAACUGACGCUGAGGAGCGAAAGCAUGGGGAGCGAACAGG
rnacentral:rRNA from 1 species